UAAUGUUCCUCUAUCUGUUACUUGUACAAACCCAACAUUUGAUCUUUGGAGUGGUUAAUGAAUGUACAAUCUGGUGCUGAUUAUUUCUCAAAGAUGCAGUGUACAUCUCUGGGGAGUUGAUGAACUGUGCUUAAAGUUGUAUAAAAAUUACUGGAAAUCGUACGCAUUUUUGGAAUUAUUGGAUGGACUAUUAAAGGUUCUCUCACACAGUUGGAGCCAGGAACUUUACUCAACCAUGUGACGAAACCAAAAGACUGAAAAAUCACAUCUAGUUUUGGAGCACCUUAAAAGGGAAAAACAAAAUUUGUGUAAUUUCCAAGGUGGGCUCACUGGGUUUCAGGAGUAGCAGAUCUCAAUACGAAAUGUUAACAUUUUUAAAA